rnacentral:rRNA from 1 species
GUGGGGAAUAUUGGACAAUGGGCGCAAGCCUGAUCCAGCCACGCCGCGUGUGUGAUGAAGGCCUUCGGGUCGUAAAGCACUGUGGAGGGGGAAGAAUGAGCGUCGGGCUAAUCACCGACGCAGUGACGGUACCCCUUUAGCAAGCACCGGCUAACUCCGUGCCAGCAGCCGCGGUAAUACGGAGGGUGCAAACGUUGCUCGGAAUCAUUGGGCGUAAAGCGCGUGUAGGCGGUCUUCUAAGUCGGAUGUGAAAGCCCUGGGCUUAACCCAGGAAUUGCGUUCGAAACUGGUCGACUCGAGUACGGGAGAGGGUAGCGGAAUUCCCGGUGUAGAGGUGAAAUUCGUAGAUAUCGGGAGGAACACCUGUGGCGAAGGCGGCUACCUGGACCGAUACUGACGCUGAGACGCGAAAGCGUGGGGAGCAAACAGGAUUAGAUACCCUGGUAGUCC